rnacentral:rRNA from 1 species
AUUGAACGCUGGCGGCAGGCCUAACACAUGCAAGUCGAACGAGUGGCGGACGGGUGAGUAAUGUCUGGGAAACUGCCCGAUGGAGGGGGAUAACUCCUGGAACCGGUAGCUAAUACCGCCUACCCUCGGAUGUGCACAGAUGGGAGUAGCUAGGAGGUGGGGUAACGGCUCACCUAGGCGCCGAUCCCUAGCUGGUCUGAGAGGAUGACCAGCGACACUGGAACUGAGACACGGUCCAGACUCCUACGGGAGGCAGAAGUGGGGAAUAUUGCACAAUGGGUGCAAGCCUGAUGCAGCCAUGCCGCGUGUAUGAAGAAGGCCUUCGGGUUGUAAAGUACUUUCAGCGAGGAGGCGUUACUCGCAGAAGAAGCACCGGCUAACACCGUGCCAGCCGCCGCGGUAAUUC